CCCUUAGAUGUUCUGGGCCGCACGCGCGCUACACUGAUGCAUUCAACGAGCCUAGCCUUGACCGAGAGGUCCGGGUAAUCUUUGAAACUGCAUCGUGAUGGGGCUAGAUUAUUGCAAUUAUUAAUCUUCAACGAGGAAUGCCUAGUAAGCGUGAUUCAUCAAAUCGCGUUGAUUACGUCCCUGCCCUUUGUACACACCGCCCGUCGCUCCUACCGAUUGAGUGUAUUGGUGAGGAGUUUGGAUUGGCCUCGGAAGGUGGUUCGCCACCGUCCGUAGCUGAGAAGUUCUCCAAACCGCCCCACUUAGAGGAAGGAGAAGUCGUAACA
rnacentral:rRNA from 1 species